rnacentral:rRNA from 1 species
AGCGAACGCUGGCGGCAGGCCUAACACAUGCAAGUCGAACGAACCUUUCGGGGUUAGUGGCGGACGGGUGAGUAACACGUGGGAACGUGCCUUUAGGUUCGGAAUAACUCAGGGAAACUUGUGCUAAUACCGAAUGUGCCCUUCGGGGGAAAGAUUUAUCGCCUUUAGAGCGGCCCGCGUCUGAUUAGCUAGUUGGUUGAGGUAAUGGCUCACCAAGGCGACGAUCAGUAGCUGGUCUGAGAGGAUGAUCAGCCACAUUGGGACUGAGACACGGCCCAAACUCCUACGGGAGGCAGCGGUGGGGAAUCUUAGACAAUGGGGGCAACCCUGAUCUAGCCAUGCCGCGUGAGUGAUGAAGGCCUUAGGGUUGUAAAGCUCUUUCAGCUGGGAAGAUAAUGACGUUACCAGCAGAAGAAGCCCCGGCUAACUCCGUG